rnacentral:lncRNA from 1 species
AAUAAACCCUAUCUCACGCCUCGCUGUGAUUCACAGUCCGAAUGCCUUCCCAAAACGACUAAAACGAAGCUCUCUUCCAGUUAAGAUGUUAAUUCAAACAAAACCGACACUCUGGUUCUAUAAUGUCAACGUAAAAUUAGGGCAACAAAGUGGUGUAUUGAGAUCGAUGACAAAUGAUUCAUGUUGUGUAUUCAGGUAGGGUUUAAUAGGGCAGGAUUUCUUUUUAAAUUCGAUCGUCGAUCAGCAACCGCUGAACUUAUGAACAGGGCUAAGGCUGGUUGGGGAGUUCUCGGUGGGUGAUUCUUAGAACUUUUUUUCGAAGCUGUCUUUUGGGGAUGUUGUUGAACUCGGUUUAUAAUCGAGCCGAGCCCGAGCUUGGCCUGGCUCGGCUCGGCUCGGCUCAUGAACAACCCUAGAUGUAAGAAUAGUUAAAGGGGCUUGUGGGGUUGCUAAGACAAAGUGAACUGAAGGAAAGGAAGUUAAGGAGUUAAAAGUAGUAAGGGAGCAAACUGUUGCAGUUGCAUUUGCUUCAUCGCUUUAUAUUUAACUCAAAUCUUUCAUGGAGUGUUUGGAUUUUAGUUUUAAUACUGAUUAAUUUUUCUUUUAUUUAAAAACUUCUCAUUGUGAUUAUUUGGGGAUAAGCAAAGCACACCCAAACACCAUCUCUUACAAAAAAAAUCACAUUCAAAACGCACAUACGAACACUCUCCUUGGUAUGCCAGCUUUGGAAGAGAUUAUGAUUUUUAACUCAACCUUCCCUAACAAAACAGGUAAACUCUGAAGCACUUGGCUGAUGACAAGAGUGGUCAAUUAUCUCCAAACUCAGUUCCAGCACCUAAACAACUCAAGUACACAGCUGGCAUAGCCAAUGGUCUAGUCAAAGAAUCCACUACCUUUCUAAACCAGAAUCAAAAGGUUUGUUUCUUAAUUCUUUUUUUCUUUGCAUAUGUCUCGACCCAUUUAUUCACCUUAUGUUGUAUCUCUAACGUGUCAUAUCAGUCAAAAUCACUCAUUAAGACUACCUGGUGAUACAAUCUAAUGCUAGAUGGAGGUUUAGCCAAUUUAUGUUUUCACAAAUCAUGCAUAUAUGAACACUGGCUUUUUCCGAACCCGAAAAUCUUGUCAUACAUAUGAAUUAUAGUAUGUCUUAUCAUCCACAUCUGGUGUGAUUUUAAAUCCACAUUAUAUAUUUUUAUUUAUAAUUGCACAUGUAAAUUAUAGUUUGAGUUACUAACGGAAUAUUCAAAACUGAUGGAGUUUAUUAAUUUGCAAAGGAUGUCACAUAUGUCAAAAUUUGAGUUUUUUUUUCUCUCGUGCUUUUAGUUUGAUGUUUUCGCGUGUCAACAAUUAAUGUCCUUUUGUGGUUAUGACAAUAUAAGCCAAGUAAACUUAUUGGACGGUUUUAAUUCAAAAGAAUUUACUUUCUUUGUAUGUUUUAGUUGAUGCAAAAAACUCAAAAAGUUGAAGCUAUUUUACUUCUAUGUGUGAGGAAUAUUGGUUCGCCCUCGUUUGAUGUGAGGUACACGUUCAAGUACCAAUAAAAAGAUGAAAACUUGGUAAAACCAUAUGGUUUAUUUCUACAAUUCAAGAUUGUAUUGGUGCAUCCAUCGCAUGGCCCUAUCCAUUCAUCUCGGUAUGUAUUUGUUAAACUUGUGAUACAAAUAAUUUUAAUAUCAUGGAACUUAAUGCUUAUACAUGGAUGGUUUAUUUGUAGGUAGUCCAUGAGGAUUGAGGACGCAUGAUGACUCAAGAUUUUAUGUUUCUUAUUUCUUUAAUUGCUUUUCAUUUUGUUGUUAAAUGUUAAGACUUUCUGUUAGAUAAUGUUAUAACUUAUUUACGGUUAGUGUUUUUGUUAUGAACAUGCUUAUUUGAAAUAUAAUAAAGUUUUAUUUCUU